UUAAGUAGGGCGGGACACGUGAAAUCCUGUUCGAAGAUCGGAGGACCACCUCCGAAGGCUAAGUACUCCUUACUGACCGAUAGCGAACCAGUACCGUGAGGGAAAGGUGAAAAGCACCCCGACGAGGGGAGUGAAACAGUACCUGAAACCGAACGCCUACAAUCAGUUGGAGGGUCCUUGCGGCCUGACAGCGUACCUUUUGUAUAAUGGGUCAUCGACUUGGUCUCACAAGCAAGCUUAAGCCGUUAGGUGUAGGCGUAGCGAAAGCGAGUCUGAAUAGGGCGACUGAGUAUGUAGCAUUAGACCCGAAGGCAAGUGAUCUAGGUAUGGGCAGGGUGAAGGUGCAGUAACAUGCACUGGAGGCCCGAACCGUUGCACGUUGAAAAGUGCUCGGAUGACCUGUGCCUAGGGGUGAAAGGCCAAAAAAA
rnacentral:rRNA from 1 species